rnacentral:misc_RNA from 1 species
UAGGGAUUGCAGUGGAAAGCCCACAGGGAGGUACGACCGAGGACUUGGAACGUAAAGCCCGACCCCGC